GACGAACGCUGGCGGCGUGCCUAAUACAUGCAAGUCGAACGCAGUGGGGACGGGUGAGUAACACGUGGGUAACCUCCCAUCAGAGGGGAUAACACUUGGAAACAGGUGCUAAACCGAUACUGAUGGAUGGACCCGCGGUGCAUUAGCUAGUUGGUGAGGUAACGGCUCACCAAGGCCACGAGGCAUAGCCCACCUGAGAGGGUGAUCGGCCCCACGUGGACUGAGACACGGCCCCGACUCCUACGUGAGGCAGCAGUAGGGAAUCUUCGGCAAUGGACGAAAUGCUUACCCAGCAACGCCGCGUAAGUGAAGAAGGUUUUCGGAUCGUAAGACUCUGUUGUUAGAGAAGCGGUAACUAACCAGAAAGCCACGGCUAACUACGUGCCAGCCGCCGCGGUAAUAC
rnacentral:rRNA from 1 species